ACCUUGGUGGUGUUGCUGUAGCACGUGCUCCUGUUAUGGGUGAAAACGCGGGUUCAACUCCCUCUUGAGGCU